CCUACGGGAGGCAGCAGUAGGGAAUAUUGCUCAAUGGGGGAAACCCUGAAGCAGCAACGCCGCGUGGAGGAUGAAGGUUUUCGGAUUGUAAACUCCUUUUGUUAGAGAAGAUAAUGACGGUAUCUAACGAAUAAGCACCGGCUAACUCCGUGCCAGCAGCCGCGGUAAUACGGAGGGUGCAAGCGUUACUCGGAAUCACUGGGCGUAAAGAGCGCGUAGGCGGGAUAGCAAGUCAGAUGUGAAAUCCUAGGGCUUAACCAGAGAACUGCAUUUGAAACUGUUAUUCUAGAGUAUGGGAGAGGUAGGUGGAAUUCUUGGUGUAGGGGUAAAAUCCGUAGAGAUCAAGAGGAAUACUCAUUGCGAAGGCGACCUGCUAGAACAUAACUGACGCUGAUGCGCGAAAGCGUGGGGAGCAAACAGGAUUAGAUACCCCUGUAGUC
rnacentral:rRNA from 1 species